rnacentral:rRNA from 1 species
AUUGAACGCUGGCGGCAUGCCUUACACAUGCAAGUCGAACGGUAACAGGUCUUCGGAUGCUGACGAGUGGCGAACGGGUGAGUAAUACAUCGGAACGUGCCUAGUAGUGGGGGAUAACUACUCGAAAGAGUGGCUAAUACCGCAUGAGAUCUACGGAUGAAAGCAGGGGAUCGCAAGACCUUGUGCUACUAGAGCGGCCGGUGGCAGAUUAGGGAGUUGGUGGGAUAAAAGCUUACCAAGCCGACGAUCUGUAGCUGGUCUGAGAGGACGAUCAGCCACACUGGGACUGAGACACGGCCCAGACUCCUACGGGAGGCAGCAGUGGGGAAUUUUGGACAAUGGGCGCAAGCCUGAUUCAGCAAUGCCGCGUGCAGGAUGAAGGCCUUCGGGUUGUAAACUGCUUUUGUACGGAACGAAAAGCCCUGGGUUAAUACCCUGGGGUCAUGACGGUACCGUAAGAAUAAGCACCGGCUAACUACGUGCCAGCCGCCGCGGUAACAC